GUUAAGCGACUAAGCGUACACGGUGGAUGCCCUGGCAGUCAGAGGCGAUGAAGGGCGUGCUAAUCUGCGAUAAGCGCCGGUAAGGUGAUAUGAACCGUUAUAACCGGCGAUACCCGAAUGGGGAAACCCAGUGUGAUUCGUCACACUAUCAUUAACUGAAUCCAUAGGUUAAUGAGGCGAACCGGGGGAACUGAAACAUCUAAGUACCCCGAGGAAAAGAAAUCAACCGAGAUUCCCCCAGUAGCGGCGAGCGAACGGGGAGGAGCCCAGAGCCUGAAUCAGCAUGUGUGUUAGUGGAAGCGUCUGGAAAGGCGCGCGAUACAGGGUGACAGCCCCGUACACAAAAGCGCAUGUGCUGUGAGCUCGAUGAGUAGGGCGGGACACGUGGUAUCCUGUCUGAAUAUGGGGGGACCAUCCUCCAAGGCUAAAUACUCCUGACUGACCGAUAGUGAACCAGUACCGUGAGGGAAAGGCGAAAAGAACCCCGGCGAGGGGAGUGAAAAAGAACCUGAAACCGUGUACGUACAAGCAGUGGGAGCCUCUUUUAUGGGGUGACUGCGUACCUUUUGUAUAAUGGGUCAGCGACUUAUAUUCUGUAGCAAGGUUAACCGAAUAGGGGAGCCGGAGGGAAACCGAGUCUUAACCGGGCGUUAAGUUGCAGGGUAUAGACCCGAAACCCGGUGAUCUAGCCAUGGGCAGGUUGAAGGUUGGGUAACACUAACUGGAGGACCGAACCGACUAAUGUUGAAAAAUUAGCGGAUGACCUGUGGCUGGGGGUGAAAGGCCAAUCAAACCGGGAGAUAGCUGGUUCUCCCCGAAAGCUAUUUAGGUAGCGCCUCGUGAAUUCAUCUCCGGGGGUAGAGCACUGUUUCGGCUAGGGGGCCAUCCCGGCUUACCAACCCGAUGCAAACUGCGAAUACCGGAGAAUGUUAUCACGGGAGACACACGGCGGGUGCUAACGUCCGUCGUGAAGAGGGAAACAACCCAGACCGCCAGCUAAGGUCCCAAAGUCAUGGUUAAGUGGGAAACGAUGUGGGAAGGCCCAGACAGCCAGGAUGUUGGCUUAGAAGCAGCCAUCAUUUAAAGAAAGCGUAAUAGCUCACUGGUCGAGUCGGCCUGCGCGGAAGAUGUAACGGGGCUAAACCAUGCACCGAAGCUGCGGCAGCGAACGUAUCACUUAAAGCGAUUCAGCGGGUUACGAUUGACGGAGCGAAGCGACGUCAAAGCGUAUACAAAGUCGAGUCGGUUUAAGGAUACGUUCGUUGGGUAGGGGAGCGUUCUGUAAGCCUGCGAAGGUGGCCUGUGAGGGUUGCUGGAGGUAUCAGAAGUGCGAAUGCUGACAUAAGUAACGAUAAAGCGGGUGAAAAGCCCGCUCGCCGGAAGACCAAGGGUUCCUGUCCAACGUUAAUCGGGGCAGGGUGAGUCGACCCCUAAGGCGAGGCCGAAAGGCGUAGUCGAUGGG
rnacentral:rRNA from 1 species